rnacentral:rRNA from 1 species
CCUACGGGUGGCAGCAGUGAGGGAUAUUGGUCAAUGGGGGAAACUCUGAACCAGCAACGCCGCGUGAGGGAUGACGGUCUUCGGAUUGUAAACCUCUGUCCUCUGGGAAGAAAAUGAUGGUAGCAGAGGAGUAUGCUACGGCUAAUUACGUCCCGGCAGCCGCGGUAAUACGCCGGGAGCGAGCGUUGUCCGGAGUUACGGGGUGUAAAGGGUGCGUAGGCGGGCUGGCAAGUCAGUAGUGAAAUCUAUGGGCUUAACCCAUAAACUGCUUUUGAAACUGUAAGUCUUGAGUGCAGUAGAGGUAGGCGGAAUUCGUGGUGUAGCGGUGAAAUGCGUAGAGAUCAGGAGGAACACCGAUGGCGAAGGCAGCUUACUGGGCUUUAACUGACGCUGAGGCACGAAAGCGUGGGUAGCAAACAGGAUUAGAUACCCCAGUAGUC